rnacentral:rRNA from 1 species
UACGUAGGGUGCAGGCGUUAAUCGGAAUUACUGGGCGUAAAGCGUGCGCAGGCGGUUUCUUAAGUCAGAUGUGAAAGCCCCGGGCUUAACCUGGGAACUGCGUUUGAAACUGGGAGACUCGAGUGUGGCAGAGGGGGGUGGAAUUCCACGUGUAGCAGUGAAAUGCGUAGAUAUGUGGAGGAACACCGAUGGCGAAGGCAACCCCCUGGGUUAACACUGACGCUCAUGCACGAAAGCGUGGGGAGCAAACAGG